GGACGAACGCUGGCGGCGUGCCUAAUACAUGCAAGUCGAGCGGACUUGAUGGAGUGCUUGCACUCCUGAKRGUUAGCGGCGGACGGGUGAGUAACACGUAGGUAACCUGCCUGUAAGACUGGGAUAACCCACGGAAACGUGAGCUAAUACCGGAUAGGCGAGACYCYCGCAUGRGRGAUUCGAGAAAGGCGGCGYAAGCUGCCACUUACAGAUGGACCUGCGGCGCAUUAGCUAGUUGGUGAGGUAACGGCUCACCAAGGCGACGAUGCGUAGCCGACCUGAGAGGGUGAUCGGCCACACUGGGACUGAGACACGGCCCAGACUCCUACGGGAGGCAGCAGUAGGGAAUCUUCCGCAAUGGACGAAAGUCUGACGGAGCAACGCCGCGUGAGUGAUGAAGGCCUUCGGGUCGUAAAGCUCUGUUGCCAGGGAAGAACGUCUMGGAGAGUAACUGCUCCKAGGGUGACGGUACCUGAGAAGAAAGCCCCGGCUAACUAC
rnacentral:rRNA from 1 species